rnacentral:rRNA from 1 species
GUGCCAGCAGCCGCGGUAAUACGGAGGGGGCUAGCGUUAUUCGGAAUUAUUGGGCGUAAAGGGCGCGUAGGCGGCCCGGUAAGUCAAAGGUGAAAUCCCUCGGCUCAACUGAGGAACUGCCUUUGAAACUGUCGGGCUUGAGGCCGGGAGGGGGUAGCGGAAUUCCCAGUGUAGCGGUGAAAUGCGUAGAUAUUGGGAGGAACACCGGUGGCGAAGGCGGCUACCUGGACCGGUUCUGACGCUGAUGCGCGAAAGCGUGGGUAGCAAACAGGAUUAGAUACCCCCGUAGUCC